rnacentral:rRNA from 1 species
AAAUGUUUACGUAUUAGCCUAAAUACCAAAGACACCAGAUCCCAUCUGGACUUGGAAGCGAAGAAGGGUUAGCCUUGGUUAGUACCUGGAUGGGAGAUACCCGAAGAAUACCAGGUUCUGCAGGGU